GCAUAUAAGUAAGUGGAGGAAUACAAACUGAACAGGAUCCCUUCAGUAAUGGCGAAUGAACAGGGGCUUGCUCAUUCUGGGAAGCUGGGCUCAUGGCCUUACUUUGUAAAUAUGCGAUGUGCCACCAACAGCGCCCCAGUUGUAAGCCUCUUGGGCGAGAGCAUCAGUGAGGGUGAGAAUCCUGUGCGCCACCUGGGGCUGCUUGUCAACGGUGCACACCAUGAGAAUCACAUUUCUUGAACAUGAAAUGCAAAUUGGGUGGUGCAUGCCGCGCAAAGCUGGAUAUGUGCUUGAGGCCGAUAGUAUACAAGUACCAUGAGGGAAUGAUGAAAAGAACUUUGGAAAAAGAGCUAAAAGUGCAUGACCUUGCUGUGUGGGAAGAGAAUCGGCCCCCUUUGUGCGCUGAGGUUGUGGCGCGACCAAGGUUGGCAUUGUAACUGUGUCUUCGGUCAUGUCCUGUGCUGCUGUCCUUGGUGCAUGGGCCAGCGCUAGCUUUGCUUUAAACAACGCCUUGGCCUUGCGAUCUAUAUAAACAUAGGUUUGUGUUUCGACCAAGAAAGGUUUGUGUAAGUUAGGCCGAUGAGGUUGGGCUGCUGCACCUGACUCGAGGCUCAACUGGUAAUAUGUGUCCUAUUCGACCCGUCUUGAAACACGGACCAAGGAGUCUAACACCUGUGCAAGCCUAUAGGCUCAACGCCUCCAUGCGAAAUGAAAGUAUGUGCUGGGAUGUGUGCACCAGCAACCAACUAAAUCAUGUGGGCGGUUUGUGUGUGAGCAUAUUGGUUAGGGCCCGAAAGAUGGUGAACUAUGUUUGCGCAAAGUGAAUUCAGGGGAAACCCUGAUGGAGGCUUGUCGCAGCACUGACGUGCAAAUCGUUUGUCAGAUGUGGGUAUAGGGGCGAAAGACUCAUCGAACCAUCUAGUAG
rnacentral:rRNA from 1 species